CAGCACCACGGGAAUACGAAGGGGGCUAGCGUUGCUCGGAAUCACUGGGCGUAAAGGGUGCGUAGGUGGGUCUUUAAGUCAGGGGUGAAAUCCUGGAGCUCAACUCCAGAACUGCCUUUGAUACUGAAGAUCUUGAGUUCGGGAGAGGUGAGUGGAACUGCGAGUGUAGAGGUGAAAUUCGUGGAUAUUCGCAAGAACACCAGUGGCGAAGGCGGCUCACUGGCCCGAUACUGACGCUGAGGCACGAAAGCGUGGGGAGCAAACAGGAUUAGAUACCCCAGUAGUCCCUGUCUCUUAUACA
rnacentral:rRNA from 1 species